AGCCAGCAGCCGCGGUAAGACGUAGGGGACGAGCGUUGUCCGGAUUUAUUGGGCGUAAAGCGCGCGUAGGCGGUUUGGUAAGUCGGAUGUGAAAUCCCGCGGCUCAACCACGGGACUGCAUCCGAUACUGCCCGACUAGAGGUAGGUAGGGGAGAUCGGAAUUCCUGGUGUAGCGGUGAAAUGCGCAGAUAUCAGGAGGAACACCGGUGGCGAAGGCGGAUCUCUGGGCCUUACCUGACGCUGAGGCGCGAAAGCUAGGGGAGCGAACAGGAUUAGAUACCCUGGUAGUCCUAGCCGUAAACGUUGGGUGCUAGGUGUGGGGGGACAUCGACCCCCUCCGUGCCGAAGCUAACGCAUUAAGCACCCCGCCUGGGGAGUACGGCCGCAAGGCUAAAACUCAAAGGAAUUGACGGGGGCCCGCACAAGC
rnacentral:rRNA from 1 species